rnacentral:rRNA from 1 species
ACAACUUUUAACAACGGAUCUCUUGGCUCUCGCAUCGAUGAAGAACGCAGCGAAAUGCGAUAAGUAAUGUGAAUUGCAGAAUUCAGUGAAUCAUCGAAUCUUUGAACGCACCUUGCGCUCUCUGGUAUUCCGGGGAGCACGCCUGUUCGAGUGUCA